CUUAUUUGAGAUUCACAACUCAUCAAUGUCAUAAAAAAAUGCUUGUGUAAUUUUGAAAUUAAACACUUUCUAGAAGCUUCUUGAAGACAAAUUAAAUCUAGCUUCUUGAACACAAAUAAGAAAACUUAAGUCCAAAGGUAAACCCUCUGAAAAAGAAUUCAUCAAUUUCUCAUCAACUAAACAGAAAAUUCAACUCCCUUAAAAACCCUAAUUUUCUUUUUCUAAAUUAGAGAUACGGGAAGGAGAGAGAGGGAAAAUUAAUGUUUGACAAAGUUAGAAAGAGAGUUUUUCUUUGAUUUAGCAAAGGAUGUCUGCAGCAAUGUGCGGAAGCAAGAGACCGUUCCUUGAGGAUAUCCUGUCGACGCCAUCGGCUUUUGUCUCUAAGAAGCUUAGGCGCUGCUAGCCUUUGUCUCCUUUUUCUGUUCGUUUUGCUCUGCCACCAUCUCCAUGCAACUUUGUUCUAAAUGUUCAUUCCUAUUUUAUUCUACAUGCAAGGUUUUUUCUGGUAUUAGUUUCAUGUUUGUUUCUAUAAAAAUUAUAUCUCCAAAUUUCACAAGAUUCCACCUCUAACCCUACGAGGAUUAGCAAUGUUGGGCAAAGGCAGAGAUGGUCAAGAGAUGAGACCCAGAUUGCUGGAGGGAUCGGCUAAUGGAGUUGCUGACAUACCUUUCAGUUGAAGAGUCAAUCAAGAAAGCAGUAAAAAUGAAAGUUAGUUGGUCCAUCAGCCAAGCUAGUUAUUAUUGAUUAUCUAGAUAUAUUUUAUAAAAUGUAUAAAUUAAGGUUUAGAAUAUGUGUCUAAAACAUACCUUGCUUUUGGAUCCCUUAGUAGUAAUUUCUUUUGGAAAAUCUUUUUUUUUCAGUUUUUUUCCCUUAUAAUUGUUUUUUGCUUAUUAAUUCUAUAAUGCAUGAGUUUCAAGUUUUAUCCUUGAUACAAAACAAGAGAAUACAGUCUUCAACUGAGCAAAAAGCAGAUGAUAAAGAGGUAUUACUCUUUCCUUCCUUUCACUUAUAUAGAAUAGUAGCAUUUUUUAAUUUUAUGUUAAAUUCACAUUGAAACAUAAGGAAUUGGCUGUUCAAGCUUGGAAAAAAGAUUGGUGAGGCUCUUUUGGAGAGCUUUAUUUAGUAAUGAUGCAACAAAGGAUUACUUGUCAAAAGAAAUUGAGAUCUUGUGGACAAAAACUCAUUGGAAGAAAGCCUGCUUUUAUCUGUGGGAUGAGGUAUUAUCUGUUGCAGUUGGCAGAACAUUAGCUGUUAUAUGCCAUGUUAAUGAGACUUAACAUCCUAAAAGGGACAUGAGGGCCAAGUGACGCUCCUCUUACACCAACUCCUUUUGAAGCUUUUGUAAAAGUGUCAAAGUUCUUAUGCCCACAUGCUCAAAUCUAUUGUACAAGGUAUUUCGUGCUUAUUGUUGUUCAAAGGAUUCUUUCUUAUCCUGAAGAUAAGUAAAAUUUGUGGUUUUGUAUACGGUGAGUGGAUAUUGUUACUGCUUAUUGGCUGGUAAUUGUAGUAAAUAGCAUGUUGCAUGAUGUUGAUGGUUUUUCAUUUGCA